rnacentral:rRNA from 1 species
UACAGAGGGGGCAAGCGUUGUUCGGAAUUACUGGGCGUAAAGGGCGCGUAGGCGGCCUGCUAAGUCGAACGUGAAAUCCCCGGGCUCAACCCGGGAACUGCGUCCGAUACUGACAGGCUUGAAUCCGGGAGAGGGAUGUGGAAUUCCAGGUGUAGCGGUGAAAUGCGUAGAUAUCUGGAGGAACACCGGUGGCGAAGGCGGCAUCCUGGACCGGUAUUGACGCUGAGGUGCGAAAGCGUGGGGAGCAAACAGG